CUGAUUUCAUUGUCACAGUCAUCUGAAGACUUGGAGUUGUGUAACCAUGUGGAAGGUAACUCUUAUUCUUGGAUGUCUUUUGACUCUGACCCUGGCUUCUCCUGUUAAAAAGGAGCGACGCCUGGCUCGCUCUUUUUCUGAUUCAAAUGAGAUGCACCGUUUUUCGCUUAAUCAAAUCCUGUUCCAGAUCCUGUAUAAUUUACUUACCACAACUACUACUACAGCAACUGCUACCACUCCAAUUCCCCAAACUCCUCCAAUUGGGGGAAAAGGUUAAUGUAACAAUG